AUUGAACGCUGGCGGCAGGCCUAACACAUGCAAGUCGAGCGGUAGAGAGAAGCUUGCUUCUCUUGAGAGCGGCGGACGGGUGAGUAAUGCCUAGGAAUCUGCCUAGUGGUGGGGGAUAACGUUCGGAAACGGACGCUAAUACCGCAUACGUCCUACGGGAGAAAGCGGGGGAUCUUCGGACCUCGCGCCAUUAGAUGAGCCUAGGUCGGAUUAGCUAGUUGGUGAGGUAAUGGCUCACCAAGGCGACGAUCCGUAACUGGUCUGAGAGGAUGAUCAGUCACACUGGAACUGAGACACGGUCCAGACUCCUACGGGAGGCAGCAGUGGGGAAUAUUGGACAAUGGGCGAAAGCCUGAUCCAGCCAUGCCGCGUGUGUGAAGAAGGUCUUCGGAUUGUAAAGCACUUUAAGUUGGGAGGAAGGGUAGUAACCUAAUACGUUGCUAUUUUGACGUUACCGACAGAAUAAGCACCGGCUAACUUCGUGCCAGCCGCCGCAGUAACAC
rnacentral:rRNA from 1 species